GGGACAGCUACUCUCGGAGGAGGUGCCAGAGUCCCAGGGGAGACAGAGGUGGGUGAGCCCAGAUCCCUGCAGAGGUUACUGUAGAACUCGCCUCGAGCCCAGCCCGCCGACUCAUUAUGUAAUGAUUUUGUGUAAACCGACAGAGUGGAGCGAAGAUGCACUGGAGUGGUGGUUAGCAGGGCGUGGGGUGAGGCGGGCGGGAAGACCCCCCAGCUGAUUCUCGUCCUUGGGGUAUGCUCUGGUUCCCACACGUCAGAGCCAAUGGAAACAGGAAUCGCUUCUCCUCAAGAUAAUUUGCUUUUAUCUAGCUGAUUGCUUGAGUAACACUGAAAAAUUGUCCCUUGCACACUUAUCUAUCAUUGUGAGGAUUAUGCUGGCAACGGAAAAUUAAAGAUAAUUGAUGAUCAUAGCAAA